rnacentral:tRNA from 1 species
AUUUAUAUAUUAUAAUAAGUAUAUUUAAUUUCCAAUUAAAAGGUUUAUCAAUGUUAAUAUAAAUA